CAGGUGUUUCUGUUACCAGAUCAAUGAUACAUGUUCAUAAAUUGCUACAGAGAACUGAGAGAAUUUAGUCUUCUUUUACUGAAAGAAUCCUUCUGGGAAAGGUGACCUGAUUCCACUGCUCAGAUACAGCUGCUGCUGCAUGAGCUCCCAGGGAGGAGGGUAAAGGCGUGUGGCAAUCCUGCCUGUCACAGCACUGCAGAACUCUAGAAUGGAAUGGAUCUCUGCAGAUCAUCUAGUCUGACAGCCUGGCAAGGCAAGAUAACCUGGAGCAGGCGACACAGGAACAUGUCCAGAGUCCCUCUCCUUGGACACACUCAGAACCUGACUACCAUGGUCCAGAGCAACCCGCUGUAGUGAUCCCAGCCUUGAGGAGGACCUUGGGCUAGAUGAUCUCCAGAGGUCCCUGCCAAAUUCAGCCAUUCUGGGACUCAGGGUGCUGUGGAAUACUUUUGAAAUCCAACCUGGGAUUAACCAUAGUUAAUUUUUUUCUGUAUGUAUGCCACUAUUUUUUUUCACUUUUCUUUCCUUCUGCAAGUGGGAGCAGCACCUCCCACUGGAAGUGCGGAUGAAAUGAAUUUUAGGGAUACAGAAUGGAUUUCUGGUCACUAAUGGAAAAUCUUCUGGGAGGAGGACAGAACAAGUGUGAUUCUGCAGAUCAAUGUUUCUGAUGUAAUGAAUCUAUGCACAACAGGUUUGUAACAAGGUCAAAGUCAUUCAUCCAAUGUGUUUGGGAUUAAAACACAGAAAAGAGAUGUGACUCAGAGUGAUGUUCAGACUCAUGGAUCCCUCACACAGAAGACAUCUCCAGACUCUUCACUCCUCCUUCCUGUUGCAGUGCUUUCUUAAGCACUUCCCAAACAUCUCUUAUGCUGAUUCCUUAAGCUAUUUCAAUAUUUAAUCUGAACCAGCCUUUUCUUUCUUCACACCCUCCUUUCUUCUUCCUCUGUCUAAAUCUCUUGCUCAAGAUCUUAUACCAAAUAAAUGAUGAAAGGUAAAAACAAACAAACAAACAAACAAACAAACAAAAAAAAACCAAAAAAACCCAAAAAAACCCAAAA